rnacentral:siRNA from 1 species
GGACGAGCUCCUAGAUCUAUGGU